GAUGAACGCUGGCGGCGUGCCUAAUACAUGCAAGUCGAGCGAACGGACGAGAAGCUUGCUUCUUUGAUGUUAGCGGCGGACGGGUGAGUAACACGUGGAUAACCUACCUAUAAGACUGGGAUAACUUCGGGAAACCGGAGCUAAUACCGGAUAAUAUUUUGAACCGCAUGGUUCAAAAGUGAAAGACGGUCUUGCUGUCACUUAUAGAUGGAUCCGCGCUGCAUUAGCUAGUUGGUAAGGUAACGGCUUACCAAGGCAACGAUGCAUAGCCGACCUGAGAGGGUGAUCGGCCACACUGGAACUGAGACACGGUCCAGACUCCUACGGGAGGCAGCAGUAGGGAAUCUUCCGCAAAGGGCGAAAGCCUGACGGAGCAACGCCGCGUGAGUGAUGAAGGUCUUCGGAUCGUAAAACUCUGUUAUUAGGGAAGAACAUAUGUGUAAGUAACUGUGCACAUCUUGACGGUACCUAAUCAGAAAGCCACGGCUAACUACGUG
rnacentral:rRNA from 1 species